rnacentral:rRNA from 1 species
UACGGAGGGUGCGAGCGUUGUCCGGAAUCACUGGGCGUAAAGCGCACGUAGGCGGCUUGUUAAGUCAGGGGUGAAAUCCUGGAGCUCAACUCCAGAACUGCCUUUGAUACUGGCGAGCUUGAGUCCGGGAGAGGUGAGUGGAACUCCGAGUGUAGAGGUGAAAUUCGUAGAUAUUCGGAAGAACACCAGUGGCGAAGGCGGCUCACUGGCCCGGUACUGACGCUGAGGUGCGAAAGCGUGGGGAGCAAACAGG